AUUGAGAACUGUACCAGUUUAACAGGCUUGGACCUUUCAGGUAAUGAGUUCCAUGGACCGAUUCCAUUAGACAUCGGGAAAAGGAUGCCAUAUGUAACAAGACUAGAUCUAUCCUUCAACAAAUUUUCUGGUGAAAUCCCAUCAAGUAUUGCAAAUUGCUCUUAUCUAAAUGAUCUCAAUCUUGAGAACAACGAAUUAACUGGCCGUAUCCCACAACAAAUUGGCUAUCUUGGUCGGAUUAAGACCUUCAGUGUUGCAAACAAUCGAUUAUCAGGGCAAGUGCCAAACUUUGCGAAGGGCAGUAUCCCAGCUGAAAGCUAUGCUAAUAACAUGGGACUCUGUGGAGGGCCUUUGGAAGAAUGCACAAAGCCAAGGAAAAUCAACUGGAAAGUGAUUGGUUAUACUCUUUCUGCGGCUUCAGUGAUGGUUGUACUGGCUUGUUGCGUUCCUUGGGUGCGUGUGGGGGAGAAGAAGAAAAGGAGGAUCACCGCAGCGGAAAUUAUCAUACUGAUGAUAAGGAGGAAGAACAAGAAAAGAGAGGAUGAGCUUGAGGAUGGUUUUGCAAUGAUAGAGGUCCAACAAGAAACAGGGAUUUCUAGGUUGGAGAAAUUUGUUACAAGAAUGAGUUAUAUAGAUCUCAGCUAUGCUACCCAAAAUUUCAGUCAACACAAUAUCAUUGGACACGGACAAAUGGGGACAAUGUAUAAGGCAACCCUUCCAAAUGGUUGGUGCCUCGCAGUGAAAAGGUUGCAUGACUCUCAACAAUUUGAAGAACAGUUCAUAUCUGAAUUGAAUACAUUAGCCAGAUUCAGACACGAUAAUUUAAUUCCAAUAUUGGGAUUUGCCAUAGAGUUGAAGGAAAGGCUUCUGGUGUACAAAUAUGUCUCCAAUGGAAAUCUUUUCGAUUGGUUGCAUUCAGCAGAAGACAAGAAGAAGAUUCUUGAAUGGCCUCUGAGGAUGAAAAUUGCUGUUGGAUUAGCGAGAGGCUUGGCAUGGCUUCACCAUCGAAAAAAAUUCCGCUUGGCACAUCUCAACAUAAACUCAAAGUCUGUUUUACUUGACAAGAAUUUUGAACCUAAGUUAUCAAAUUUUGGAAGGGCAAGGAUAAGUUCACCUAUAGAAACUGAACUCUGGGAAUCGAGUUUUCUGAAAGAUGUCUACAACUUUGGAAUUGUGAUUCUUGAGCUGAUCAAAGGUAAACAGCUUACUUCGUCAAACAGUUCUGAAAGGAGCUUGGAGGAAUAUACAAGUAAUAUCUCUACCAGCUCUGCUUGUCUGUAUGAUGCUAUUGAUACGUGUUUGAUAGGGAAAGGACAUGAUGAUGAGAUUUUCCAGCUCUUUAGAAUUGCUUGUAAUUGUGUUGAACACUUGCCAGAGCGAAGGAAAAACAUGCUUGAAGUGUACGAAAUGAUUAAAGACGUCAGAGAGACACAAGUCCUCUCAUAAUGAUCCACAAAAAUCUGUGGAAUCCAAAAUUGCUUCACCAAAUUUCAGAGAUGAAUGAGGCUGAAAUAACAGAGAAUGCAAUAAAACAGAGCAAAAAUAUAUGGCCAUUUUUCUUCUUUAACUGUAUUUUAGGUUCAAGGAAAUGAAGGCAAGGUAUGUAGGUUAGUCCUGAAGAAAGCAUGCAAAAUAUGUACAAGGAAAUCUUAUCUUUAGUAUUAGCCUGAACUUGAUUACUUUGUGUACUGUUCUUGAAAUGAUGAUGUUAAUUUGUUG
rnacentral:misc_RNA from 1 species